rnacentral:rRNA from 1 species
CCCUUAGAUGUUCUGGGCCGCACGCGCGCUACACUGAUGCAUUCAACGAGUUUCUUCCUGGUCCGAGAGGAAUGGGUAACCUUUUGAAAGUGCAUCGUGAUAGGGAUAGACUAUUGCAAUUAUUGGUCUUCAACGAGGAAUUCCUAGUAGACGUAGUUCAUCAGACUGCAUCGAUUACGUCCCUGCCCUUUGUACACACCGCCCGUCGCUCCUACCGAUUGAAUGCUCAGGUGAGCCAUUCGGACUUUCAUCAUGCUGGUUUCCAGUUUUGAUGACGGAAAGUCUUGCGAACCUUAUCAUUUAGAGGAAGGAGAAGUCGUAACA